rnacentral:rRNA from 1 species
CGCUAUCACUCCUACGGGAGGCAGCAGUAGGGAAUAUUGGUCAAUGGGCGAAAGCCUGAACCAGCCAUGCCGCGUGUCAGAUGAAGGUCCUCUGGAUUGUAAAUGACUUUUCUACGGGAAGAAUGAGCCGUCUGCGGACGGAAGUUGACGGUACCGUAGGAAUAAGCACCGGCUAACUACGUGCCAGCAGCCGCGGUAAUACGUAGGGUGCAAGCGUUGUCCGGAUUUACUGGGUUUAAAGGGUACGUAGGCGGUUGUGCCAAGUCUGGGGUGAAAGUUUGCAGCUCAACUGUAAAAUUGCCUUGGAUACUGGUCGGCUAGAGUAGUGGAGCGGUGGCUGGAAUUUAUAGUGUAGCGGUGAAAUGCUUAGAUACUAUGAGGAACACCAAUUGCGAAGGCAGGUCACUGGUCACUAACUGACGCUGAGGUACGAAAGUGUGGGGAUCAAACAGGAUUAGAUACCCUGGUAG